rnacentral:rRNA from 1 species
AACGAACGCUGGCGGCAGGCUUAACACAUGCAAGUCGAACGCAUCGCAAGAUGAGUGGCAGACGGGUGAGUAACGCGUGGGAACAUACCCUUUUCUACGGAAUAGCUCUGGGAAACUGGAAUUAAUACCGUAUACGCCCUACGGGGGAAAGAUUUAUCGGGGAAGGAUUGGCCCGCGUUGGAUUAGCUAGUUGGUGGGGUAAAGGCCUACCAAGGCGACGAUCCAUAGCUGGUCUGAGAGGAUGAUCAGCCACAUUGGGACUGAGACACGGCCCAAACUCCUACGGGAGGCAGCAGUGGGGAAUAUGGGACAAUGGGCGCAAGCCGGAUCCAGCCAUGCCUCGUGAGUGAUGAAGGCCUUAGGGUUGUAAAGCUCUUUCACCGAUGAAGAUAAUGACGGUAGUCGGAGAAGAAGCCCCGGCCAACUUCGUGCCAGCAGCCGCCGUAACAC